rnacentral:rRNA from 1 species
GUCUUUUUGAUAUAUAUUUAAAGUCUGACCUGCCCACUGAAAAUUUAACGGCCGCAGUACACUAACUGUGCAAAGGUAGCAUAAUAAUUAGUCUUUUAAUUGAAGGCUGGAAUGAAUGGUUGGACGAAAUAUUGACUGUUUCAUUAAAAUUUUAUUUAGAACUUUAUUUUUUAGUCAAAAAGCUAAAAUUUUAUUAAAAGACGAGAAGACCCUAUAAAGCUUUAUACAAAGUUUAAAUUAAAGGAUUAAGAUUUUAUAUAUUUAAUUUAAAUUUUGUAUUUUAUUGGGGUGAUAUUAAAAUUUAAAAAACUUUUAAUUGAUUAAACAUUGAUGUAUGAAAUAUUGAUCCACUAUUUGUGAUUAUAAAUUUAAGUUACUUUAGGGAUAACAGCGUAAUUUUUUUGGAGAGUUCAUAUCGAUAAAAAAGAUUGCGACCUCGAUGUUGGAUUAAGGAAUAGGGUUAG